rnacentral:misc_RNA from 1 species
CCCUCCCCUAAAUCACUCCAAAAAAACAAUCCCCAAUUCUACACAAGUGUUUCUACACUAACAAAGCAACAGCUCCUUAACGAAUUCCCAACUUUACACGAGCUCGUCUCUCGAGGUUAAAUGUUAUUACUUGGUAAGAUUCCGGACCUCGCCAAGUGUUUUGAAAACCCGCAACGCCUCGCAAAGGUGCAUAGUGAGAAUAAUAAGUGAAGAGACAGACUUGUCCAAAACGCCCACCACGAAGGUGCAUAGUGAGAAGAGUAAGUCAAGAGAUAGACUUGUCCAAAAAGAAACGGAAGAGAAAGCUUGGGGAGACGCUCACGAAGGUGCAUAGUGAGAAGAGUAAGUCAAGAGAUGACUUGUUCAAAAGAAACAAGAGAAUGCUUGGGGUUACACUCACGAAGGUGCAUAGUGAGAAGAGUAAGUCAAGAGACAGACUUGUUCAAAAAGAAACAAAAGAGAAUGCUUGGGGAGAUAGAAGUGUGAGAUAGUUCUCAAGCUAAGAAAGUUGUAAAGCUAAGAACUAGCAAGUAAUCGUCCAGGAUUCCUCCACCAGACUUGAAAUCGUCGAGGGAAAAAAAAUCGGUUCCGAGGAAUCGUCGAUCCGGACUUGGAAUCGUCGAGAAAGUUUACCGGGUCCGAGGAUUUGUCGACCAGGAGUGGAAAUCGUCGAGAAAAAUCUAUCGGGUCCGAGGAAUCGUCGACCAGGACGAGGAAUCGUCGACGUGGUCCGAGGAUUUGCUGUCGAC